rnacentral:rRNA from 1 species
AUUGAACGCUAGCGGGAUGCCUUACACAUGCAAGUCGAACGGAGUGGCGAACGGGUGAGUAAUGUAUCGGAACGUGCCCAGCAUCGGGGGAUAACUACGCGAAAGCGUAGCUAAUACCGCAUACUAUUUGAGCGGCCGCAAGUGCAUUAGCUAGUUGGUGGUGUAACGGCUCACCAAGGCGACGAUCCGUAGCUGGUUUGAAGGGGAGACCAGCCACACUGGGACUGAGACACGGCCCAGACUCCUACGGGAGGCAGCAGUGGGGAAUCUUGUGCAAUGGGGGAAACCCUGAUCGAGCCAUCCCGCGUGUGCGAUGAAGGUCUUCGGGUUGUAAAGCACUUUUGGCAGGAAAGCGGUACCUGCAGAAUAAGCACCGGCUAACUACGUGCCAGCAGCCGCGGUAAUAC